UAUGUAGGGUGCGAGCGUUAAUCGGAAUUACUGGGCGUAAAGCGUGCGCAGGCGGUUACAUAAGCCAGAUGUGAAAUCCCCGGGCUUAACCUGGGAACUGCAUUUGGGACUGUGUGGCUUGAGUACGGCAGAGGGAGGUGGAAUUCCACGUGUAGCAGUGAAAUGCGUAGAGAUGUGGAGGAACACCGAUGGCGAAGGCAGCCUCCUGGGCCAAUACUGACGCUCAUGCACGAAAGCGUGGGGAGCAAACAGGAUUAGAUACCCUGGUAGUCCACGCCCUAAACGAUGUCGACUAGUUGUUGGGGGCUAUAUGCCCUUAGUAACGCAGCUAACGCGUGAAGUCGACCGCCUGGGGAGUACGGCCGCAAGGUUAAA
rnacentral:rRNA from 1 species